GAUGAACGCUGGCGGCGUGCCUAAUACAUGCAAGUCGAACGCUGAAGGAGGAGCUUGCUCUUCUGGAUGAGUUGCGAACGGGUGAGUAACGCGUAGGUAACCUGCCUGGUAGUGGGGGAUAACUAUUGGAAACGAUAGCUAAUACCGCAUGACAACAGUUAUUGCAUGAUAACUGUUUAAAAGGGGCAACUGCUCCACUACCAGAUGGACCUGCGUUGUAUUAGCUAGUUGGUGAGGUAACGGCUCACCAAGGCGACGAUACAUAGCCGACCUGAGAGGGUGAUCGGCCACACUGGGACUGAGACACGGCCCAGACUCCUACGGGAGGCAGCAGUAGGGAAUCUUCGGCAAUGGACGGAAGUCUGACCGAGCAACGCCGCGUGAGUGAAGAAGGUUUUCGGAUCGUAAAGCUCUGUUGUAAGAGAAGAACGAGUGUGAGAGUGGAAAGUUCACACUGUGACGGUAUCUUACCAGAAAGGGACGGCUAACUACGUG
rnacentral:rRNA from 1 species